AAUUUGAUUAUUCACAUUUCAUUUCCACAUAUAUGGUUCCUCAGUGGUGCCUUCAAUGUUAAUCUUGGUACAUUCAUGGAAAAGGCUAGCACAUUAUCCCUUAGCAUAUCAACACGCUUGAUUUGCAAUACCAAGCCUAGCAAAUACUUUGAUUCAAUAGCUCCUCGACACGCUUGAUUUGCAAUAUUUUCUGUGCUUCAGCUUUCUCAUUUGCAGCCACUCUCGUCCUGGCAGCUGCAUUGAUUUCAUUCAUUGCUCUCUUUACAUGCUCAUCAAGUUAGUGUUUCGCACAGGUUGUAAUGUAUGUUUUAGUGACGGUGGAGCCUGAGGGGAUUGUUGCAAUUCCACAUGUGCAGAGAGGCAGUUCAUCAUUUUCAAUAUAGCUUGUGAUGAACUAAUGUUGGGCAUUCCUUACCAAGCUUGGUGGGUUGUUGUCCUGGUGACUAUCUGCUUGGUAUUGGCCUUGACCAUUCCUCACUUUCUUCCACCCUAUUUACCGCUGAAGAAUGCAAGUUUGCAGUCAACUGCAGAGUAUGUUUCCCAGGAAUCUUGACAUCUAAUUUAGAAUUGUAAAUUAAGGUUAUCGUUCUCUGUGGCAUUUUGUUGUUCAUUGAAGUUUUUUCUAGUCCAAACUUGUUAGGCAUAACUAUUCAA